rnacentral:other from 1 species
UAUGCCAGGGAGAUUGGCAACCUCAGGAUGAGGACGGUAGAUCAGGAAGAUUUAUCGAACAUGGACUGUGAAGGGACAAUCGGACGGAACCGAUAUAGCAAAUAGGAAAUUUGCUAGUCAGGAUGACAAAAUGGACCACUUCAGGAUGAAGCAAGGGACACCUCCAGGAAGGAGAUGAGAGUCGAGACAGGAUGCUUCGACGGGUCAAGGUAUGACCGAAAGGACAUCUCUAGGAAAGAGACAAAAAGGACUAAGCUGAAGGAAUCAGCAAAAUCAUGGAAUGAUGCAGGGAGCACCAUAGUAGCGGGAAUGCUGCAAGUAAGACCUAAGGGCGCGACGAAUGUCGCGCCCGCUCUUUUUUAU